rnacentral:tRNA from 4 species
GGGGUAUCGCCAAGCGGUAAGGCACCGGAUUCUGAUUCCGGCAUUCCGAGGUUCGAAUCCUCGU